AUUGAACGCUGGCGGCAGGCCUAACACAUGCAAGUCGAACGAGUGGCGGACGGGUGAGUAAUGUCUGGGAAACUGCCUGAUGGAGGGGGAUAACUACUGGAAACGGUAGCUAAUACCGCAUACCCUCAGAUGUGCCCAGAUGGGAUUAGCUUGUUGGUGGGGUAACGGCUCACCAAGGGGACGAUACCUAGCUGGUCUGAGGGGAGGACCAGCCAAAUGGGAACGGAGACAGGGUCAAGACUCCUACGGGAGGCAGCAGGGGGGAAUAUUGCACAAGGGGGGCAAGCCUGAUGCAGCCAUGCCGCGUGUAUGAAGAAGGCCUUCGGGUUGUAAAGUACUUUCAGCGGGGAGGCGUUACCCGCAGAAGAAGCACCGGCUAACUCCGUGCCAGCAGCCGCGGUAAUAC
rnacentral:rRNA from 1 species